AGGAAGUGACACUCUAAGUCAGCGUGUUUCUUCAAUGGACUGAUCAAGUUCAGAGCCCAAGAAUUUGCCCAACGUUUUUAGAUGUCCUCCUCUCUAAAUGAUGAAGGAAGACUUGGAUUCAGAGAAAGAGAAAAAGGAGAUGUGACAAGGAGAGUAGAAGUUGGCAUGGUGGAAGAAGGAAGAAGGCACCACAAGCCAAGGAAUACAGCAACCUCUAGAAGCUGGAAAAAGCAAGAAAAUAGAUUCAUUCGUGGAGCAUCCAGAAGAACCAUUCUUGCAGAGACCCUUAUUUUAGCCCAUUGAAACUUAGUUGAACUUCUGUUCAGGCCACUGAAAUGAUGCCCCUUCCUUGAUAAGGCACAAUACCUACACCAGCAGCCAGAGAUGUUAUGGUUUAAGGUCCUCAGCGGCCUGUGAGUGUCAAUGUUGGUAUUUUUGGCUGUACUUACAUCCAGCAGCUGCAACCCCCAGUCAUAGCAUAAGAUGACAAAAACUGCAAGGUCACAGGCGAAUGUAGCCAGAAAUUUGUGCAGCCUCCAUAGGGCUACAUAAGCAACCCUGAUAUUGCAUAACAGCUCAGAGUUCAUUGUUUCUCAGCCCAUCCUUCUCAGGGUCUCCUAGAUGAUGACUUUGAAGCCUUUGAAGAGUAAGUCAUGCAUGUCCCUUCCCACUGGGUUAGGAACCUGCUGCAAUGUCUACAGGGGGCUUGGGGAGAAAUAAGGACUUCUAUCUAUCAUUGCUACAGUUACACUAGAAAGAGCUCGUCACAUGAGCCAAGCAGGUUUCCUCUCCUCCUGCACUUGGGCCUAUGCCACUGGGUGGAAUGAAAAGAAGCUCAAAGUUGCCUUCUCUUAAUAUCCUCCUCUGACUUAAUGAUUCCCAAGUGGAUGUGGAAGAUGCUGAUAGGACACACACCUUUUGUAUGGAGGGAGGGAAAAAAUUAAGGGAAGGGGAGAGAGAAGAAUGGAGGAAGAGAGAGGGAGACAAGGAAAGGAAGGAAGAGAGAAGAAAGGAGAAAGACAGAGGGAUGAAAGAAGAGAGAGGAAGGAAGGAAGAAGGGAAGGAAGGAAGAAAGGAAGGGAGGGAAGGAGAGAGAAAGGGAAGAAAAGGAAAGGAAAGGAGAAAGGAAAAAAUGAAAGGAGGGAGGAAGAGUGAGGCAGAGUCAGAAAGAGAGAAAAAGAGGAAGAAAGAGAGAGGAAAGGAGAGAAUAAGAAGGGGGGAAAUGGAAAAAUAUAAAAAGGACCAAACAAAGAAAGAGAGAGGGGAGGGAAGGGGAGAAAAAGAAGGAGGAGAAGGAGAGAGAAAGAAAGAAAAAUAGGAAGCAGAGGGGAGAAAGAGAAGUAAGGAAGAGAAAGAGAGGGAAAGACGGUGAGAGAGAAAGAGGAAGGAAUGGUAAAUAGAAAGGAGAAAUGGAGAAAGAGAGAAGAGAUAAGGGAGAGGGAGUGCAGACUGGGAGAGAGAGAUGAGAUAGUUAGAGAUAUACGAAUGGAGGAAGGAGAAAGACAGAGAGAUAGAAGGAGUAGGAGGAGGAGAAAGUAAAAGAGAGAAAGAGAAGAGGGUAAGGGAGAAAGAGAAAGAAGGACAGAGAGCCAUACAGAGAGGAACAAAUGGAUAAACAGAGGAAGGAAGGGAUGGAGAAAGAGAGGAGAAAAGGAAAGAGAGGGAAGGAAGGAAAGAGGGAGGGAGAAAGAGAGCAUGUGCUUAAAGAAAAGUUAUGGGGCUGGCUGUCAUUUCCUCCAGAGGCCAACAAAACUCUCCCUACUCUCUAAGCCCCAGUGAAUAUAUAUGAAAGAGCUAGUAAGAGACAAAAUAAAAUUGCUUUGUGAUUACACCCAAUGAGUCAUGCUUGUUAGCCACAACAGUUACAUCGGCUUUCCCC
rnacentral:lncRNA from 1 species